AGGGAAUCUUCCGCAAUGGACGAAAGUCUGACGGAGCGACGCCGCGUGAGCGAAGAAGGUCUUCGGAUCGUAAAGCUCUGUUGUUAGGGAAGAAGAAGUACCGUUCGAAUAGGGCGGUACGGUGACGGUACCUAACGAGAAAGCCCCGGCUAACUACGUGCCAGCAGCCGCGGUAAUACGUAGGGGGCGAGCGUUGUCCGGAAUUAUUGGGCGUAAAGCGCGCGCAGGCGGUCCCUUAAGUCUGAUGUGAAAGCCCACGGCUCAACCGUGGAGGGUCAUUGGAAACUGGGGGACUUGAGUGCAGAAGAGGAGAGCGGAAUUCCACGUGUAGCGGUGAAAUGCGUAGAGAUGUGGAGGAACACCAGUGGCGAAGGCGGCUCUCUGGUCUGUAACUGACGCUGAGGCGCGAAAGCGUGGGGAGCAAAC
rnacentral:rRNA from 1 species